rnacentral:misc_RNA from 1 species
CAGCGUGGGCGUGACAGCUGC